AUUUGAUAUAAUGUGGAAUAGGUUUUCUAUUUUUUGUUUUCUCAUUUCUUUGGGAAUAACCUCUGGCUGUUAUGUUUUAUAUGUUACUGUUAAAAUAAAAAGUUAGCUAAGCUAAGCUAGUUAGCCUGCAGGACUAGCCUCUUGCAAUGCAGUCGGAGUUAGCAACGUUUUGUAGCUUGUCGGCUAAUGACAGGCUAACUGGUUAUGACAAACAGCCUUGUCUCAACAUAACUCCCGUGACUUUGAACUAGCUAACUUUAGCUAACUAUCAUAUAUUUCGAUAUGCUAGGUGGCUAGGUAUGUAGCCAUGUUAGCUAGCUAAGCUAGUUAGCCUGCAGGACUAGCCUCUUGCAAUGCAGUCGGAGUUAGCAACGUUUUGUAGCUUGCCGGCUAAUGACAGGCUAACUGUCUCAACGACCCAGACUCAACAUAACUCCCGGGACUUUGAACUAGCUACCUAUUAAACCUUUUAGUUAGCUUAUCUAGAGAACACAGUUUGUCAGUUAACUUAUUGCAUCUUUGUGGAUUAUGAGAAUUGUACACAACUGGCUCAGGUCUCUCUAGUGAAAUGCUAACAAGACAUAGCAUUCAUUGUUACGAAGUUAUAUGGUUACUAUCUUCGGUGGUGUGUUUAUUGUGUGAGAGGGACGGCAGGUUUGUGUGUGUGUGAGAGGGACGGCAGGUUUGUGUGUGUGAGAGAGGGACGGCAGGUUUGUGUGUGUGUGUGUGUGAGAAAGAGAGGGACGGCAGGUGUGUAUUUAUUGUGUGUAUACCAGGUGUGUAUUUAUUGUGUGUAUACCUGUGUCCUUAGUUCCCGUGGGUAAGAGAGAUGGCAGGUGUGUAUUUAUUGUGUGUAUACCAGGUGUGUGUAUACCAGGUGUGUAUUUAUUGUGUGUAUACCUGUGUCCUUAGUUCCCGUGGGUAAGACGGAUGGCAGGUGUGUAUUUAUUGUGUGUAUACCAGGUGUGUGUGUACCAGGUGUGUAUUUAUUGUGUGUGUAUACCUGUGUCCUUAGUCCCUGUGGGUAAGAGAGAUGGCAGGUGUGUAUUUAUUGUGUGUAUACCAGGUGUGUGUGUACCAGGUGUGUAUUUAUUGUGUGUGUAUACCUGUGUCCUUAGUCCCUGUGGGUAAGAGAGAUGGCAGGUGUGUAUUUAUUGUGUGUAUACCAGGUGUGUGUGUACCAGGUGUGUAUUUAUUGUGUGUGUAUACCUGUGUCCUUAGUCCCUGUGGGUAAGAGAGAUGGCAGGUGUGUAUUUAUUGUGUGUAUACCAGGUGUGUGUGUACCAGGUGUGUAUUUAUUGUGUGUAUACCAGGUGUGUGUGUACCAGGUGUGUAUUUAUUGUGUGUAUACCAGGUGUGUGUGUACCAGGUGUGUAUUUAUUGUGUGUAUACCUGUGUCCUUAGUCCCUGUGGGUAAGAGAGAUGGCAGGUGUGUAUUUAUUGUGUGUAUACCAGGUGUGUGUGUACCAGGUGUGUAUUUAUUGUGUGUAUACCAGGUGUGUGUGUACCAGGUGUGUAUUUAUUGU